CCUACGGGUGGCUGCAGUGGGGAAUAUUGGACAAUGGGGGGAACCCUGAUCCAGCCAUGCCGCGUGUGUGAAGAAGGCCCUCGGGUUGUAAAGCACUUUCAGUGAGGAAGAACGCCUGGUGGUUAAUACCCAUCAGGAAAGACAUCACUCACAGAAGAAGCACCGGCUAACUCCGUGCCAGCAGCCGCGGUAAUACGGAGGGUGCGAGCGUUAAUCGGAAUUACUGGGCGUAAAGCGCGCGUAGGUGGCUUGAUAAGCCGGUUGUGAAAGCCCCGGGCUCAACCUGGGAACGGCAUCCGGAACUGUCAAGCUAGAGUGCAGGAGAGGAAGGUAGAACUCCCGGUGUAGCGGUGAAAUGCGUAGAGAUCGGGAGGAAUACCAGUGGCGAAGGCGGCCUUCUGGACUGACACUGACACUGAGGUGCGAAAGCGUGGGUAGCAAACAGGAUUAGAUACCCUAGUAGUC
rnacentral:rRNA from 1 species